CCCUUAGAUGUCCUGGGCCGCACGCGUGCUACACUGACGCCUACAGCGAGUACUUCCCAGCCCCGAGAGGUGGCUGGUAAUCAGCAAUAGGCGUCGUGAUGGGGAUAGAUCUUUGGAAUUAUGGAUCUUGAACGAGGAAUGCCUAGUAAGCGCAGGUCAUUAGCCUGCGCUGAUUAAGUCCCUGCCCUUUGUACACACCGCCCGUCGCUCCUACCGAUUUCGAGUGGUCCGAUGAAUCUUUCGGACUGCGCGCGGCCUCGUGCCGUGUCGCGGAAAGUCAGGUAAACCUUAUCACUUAGAGGAAGGAGAAGUCGUAACA
rnacentral:rRNA from 1 species